UGGUUGGAAAGUUGUUACUACUAGAUUAGAUCCCGUGUCAUGCACGGUUUUUCACACUUCGUUACAGAAUAUCAAUUUUAAACUACAUUUAAAUAUAAAAAUAAUGGUCUAAAAUUUAUUUUUAAUGUUAUCCCAAAUCAAGCAACAUAAUAUACUACUAUUAUUUUUUUGGGAAAUUCUACGUGGCGGCCUCCAACUUUUACAAAUUCUAUAUGGUGUCAAAAAAAAAAACACAUAAUCUCUAGUGAACCCAAACUUUCAUUAAACUCUAUUUAGUGGCCAAAUCUCACUUAGAGUCGGUUAACCACUCAGUUAGGGUUAGAUUAUUAACUCUAAUCAAGUGAAUUACUAACCUACUCCCAUUUAAAUCAUAUCCACCUUUUUAUUUCAACUGAUUAUAUUAAAACCAUUGCAGGCUCUUAAAAUCCUCCCCUUUUCUUCGAUAAAUUAGGGUUCUUUAAAAAAAAAAAUCUGACUUCCUAAAUUUGCAAUUGAUUUAAUUGGUUUUCAAGCAAUUGGUUCAAGGUCCAAAUCCACCAUUACAAAAACAAAGAGCUUCAAUUUCUGAUCGCCUUCAAUCGCCGACUAGUCCCCUGUUCUUAUGCUCAAACGACGACAAACUUGAACGCGCUCAAGCCCGUGCCGCACGCGCUGCCGCCGUUCGCCGUAAACUCGCCUGAGAGAAAAUUGAGAUGGAGUAGGAUGCUCCUAGACAAUCUAUGAAUAACAGACCGCUUUUAGCUCCAAUUGGCAUGUUUCUUGUGAGCUUUGGUGCAGAGAUCACCAAAGAACAAUGAUAUCUUGUUUGUAUCCAGAUGCUUCACUACUUGGUUUUGUAAAUAUUUCUGUACUUUAAUGUAUAUAUUAUGCUCCUUUA